UCAUUCACCAUUUACUGAAGUUGUGUGUGCGUGUCUAUACCAGACCCCAUGCUAAGGACUGGGGAAAAGGAUGAUCAUACCUGGCUUGUUCCUGAUAGAGCCCAGAGACCACCUGGGAAGACAAGUAAUCAGGUCCAGCUUCGGUGUGAGGCCCUCAAUCCAGAACAUCAUGGCUCUGACUCACCAGCCUUCAGCUGCUGCACUCUGCUCUCCUCAGUGGCUGCCUUGCACCUGGAACUCAAUUUUUUUUUUUUUUUUUUUUUUGAGAUGGAGUCUUGCUCCGUAACCCAGGCUGGAGUGCAAUGGCGCAAUCUCGGCUCACUGCAACUUCCACCUCCCGGGUUCAAGUGCUUCUCCUGCCUCAGCCUCCUGAGCUUGGAUUACAGUUGUCCACCACCAUGCCCAGCUAAUUUUUGUUUUUUUUUUUUUUUUUUUUUUUUAGUAGAGACAGGGUUUCACCAUGUUGGCCAGACUGGUCUUGAACUCCUGACCUCAGGUGAUCCGCCUGCCUUGGCCUCCCAAAGUGCUGGGAUUACAGGCAUGAGCCACCACACCCAGCCAAUUUUUAAAUUUUUUAAAUUUUUUGUAGAGACAGGGUCUUGCUAUGUUGCCCAGGCUGAUCCUCAAACUCCUGGCAUCAAGAGACACUCCUGACUCCACCUCCUAAAUGCUGGGAUUAGAGAUGUGAGCCAUUGUUCCUGGCCCCUAUUGAAUUUUUUAGUCCACUGUUGAGACCUAUUGAUCAGAAAAAAGGUUGCUUUCAAAAGGUUAUUACAAAAAAAAAAAAAAAAAAGAAGAAGAAGAAGAAGAGAGAAAAAAGAUUACAAAGAUUACUGCUCAUACUCAUUCACAAUGCAUUUAGUCACCCAAGAGCUCUAAUGGAGAUGUACAAGGAGAUGAAUGUUGUUUUCAUGCCUGCUAAUACACAUCCUUUCUGCAGCCCAUGGAUCAAGGAGUAAUUUAAACCUGCAAGUCUUAUUAUUUAAAAUUACAUUUCAUAAGGCUAUAGCUGCCAUAGAUAAGUGAUUCUGCUGAUGGAUUUGGGCAAAGUACAUUGAAAACCUUCUGGAAAGGAUUCACCAUUCUAGAUGCCAUUAAGAAUAUUUGUGGUUCCAGGGAGGAAGCCAAAAACCAACAUUUACAGGAGUUUGGAAGAAAGUGACUCUAUAACUCAUGGAUGACUUUCAGAGGGGCUCAAGACUUCACUAGAGGAAGUAACUGCAGAUAUGAUAGAAGUAGCAAGGGAACUAGAAUUAGAAAUGGAACCUGAAGAUGUGACUGAAUUGCUGCAAUCUCAUGAUAAAAUUUAAAUGGAUGCAGAGUUGCUUCUUAUGGAUGAGCAAAUAAGUGAUUUCUUCUUCUUUUCUUUUUUUUUUUUUUGAGGUGGAGUCUCGCUCUGUCACCCAGGCUUGAGUGCAGUGAUGUGAUCUCUGCUCACUGCAACCUUAACCUCUCAAGCUCAAGCGAUUCUCCUGCCUCAGCCUCCCAAGUAGCUGGGAUUACAGGUGUCCACCACCAUGACUGGCUAAUUUUUGUAUUUUUAGUGGAGACGGGGUUUCACCAUGCUGACCAGGCUGUUCUCGGACUCCUGACCUCAAGUGAUCCUCCUGGCUUGACCUCCCAAAGUGCUGGGAUUACAGGUGUGAGCCACCAUGCCCAGCCUCUUUUUUUUUUUUUUUUAAAUAGAGACAGAGUCUCACUGUGUUGCCCAGGCUGGCAAUCAUGGCUCACUGCAAACUUGACCUCCUAGACUCAAGCCAUCCUCCUGGUUCAACCUUCCAAGUAACUAGUACUACAUGUGUGCACCACCCUGCUCAGCUAAUUAAAAAUAAUUUUUGUGAGGAGAUGGGGGUCUCACUAUGUUGCCAAGGCUGGUUUAGAAUGCCCAAGCUCAAGUGAUUCUCUCACUCUGGACUCCCAAAGUUCUGGGAUUACAGGUGUGUGCCAUCGUGCCUAGCCAGAAAGUGGUUUCUUGAGAUGGAAUCUACUCCUGAUGAAGAUACUGUGAAAUGUAGAAUGGUAGAAAUGACAACAAAGGAUUUAGAAUAUGACAUAAACUUAGUUGAUAAAGCAGCAGCAGGGUUUGAGAGGACUGAGUCCAAUUUUGGAAGAUAUUCUACUAUGAGUAAAAUGCUAUCAAAUAGUACUGCAUACUAGAGAUAAAUCUUUCAUGAAAGGAAGUGUCAAUUCAUGUGGCAAAUGCUACAUUGUCUUAUUUUAAGAAAUUGUCACAGCUGGCAUGGUGGGGCAUGCCUGUAAUCUCAGCUACUCGGGAAGCUGAGGCAGGAGAAUCGCUUGAACCCAGGAGGCGGAGGUUGCAGUGAGACGAGAUCGUGUCAUUGUACUCCAGCCUGGGCAACAAGAGGGAGACUCGGUCUCAG
rnacentral:lncRNA from 1 species